UACGUAGGGACCAGGCGUUGUUCGGAUUUACUGGGCGUAAAGGGCGCGUAGGCGGCGUGACAAGUCACUUGUGAAAUCUCCGGGCUUAACUCGGAACGGCCAAGUGAUACUGUCGUGCUAGAGUGCAGAAGGGGCAAUCGGAAUUCUUGGUGUAGCGGUGAAAUGCGUAGAUAUCAAGAGGAACACCUGAGGUGAAGACGGGUUGCUGGGCUGACACUGACGCUGAAGCGCGAAAGCUAGGGGAGCAAACGGG
rnacentral:rRNA from 1 species